rnacentral:rRNA from 1 species
GAUGAACGCUGGCGGCGUGCCUAAUACAUGCAAGUCGAGCGAAUGGAUUAAGAGCUUGCUCUUAUGAAGUUAGCGGCGGACGGGUGAGUAACACGUGGGUAACCUGCCCAUAAGACUGGGAUAACUCCGGGAAACCGGGGCUAAUACCGGAUAACAUUUUGAACCGCAUGGUUCGAAAUUGAAAGGCGGCUUCGGCUGUCACUUAUGGAUGGACCCGCGUCGCAUUAGCUAGUUGGUGAGGUAACGGCUCACCAAGGCAACGAUGCGUAGCCGACCGGGGAGGGAGACCGGCAACAAUGGGACUGAGACACGGCCCAGACUCCUACGGGAGGUAGCAGUAGGGAAUCUUCCGCAAUGGACGAAAGUCUGACGGAGCAACGCCGCGUGAGUGAUGAAGGCUUUCGGGUCGUAAAACUCUGUUGUUAGGGAAGAACAAGUGCUAGUUGAAUAAGCUGACACCUUGACGGUACCUAACCAGAAAGCCACGGCUAACUACGUGCCAGCCGCCGCCGUAA